UACGUAGGGUGCAAGCGUUGUCCGGAGUUAUUGGGCGUAAAGAGCUCGUAGGCGGUCUGUCACGUCGGCUGUGAAAUCCCGAGGCUCAACCUCGGGUCUGCAGUCGAUACGGGCAAACUAGAGUAUUGCAGGGGAGACUGGAAUUCCUGGUGUAGCGGUGAAAUGCGCAGAUAUCAGGAGGAACACCGGUGGCGAAGGCGGAUCUCUGGGCCUUACCUGACGCUGAGGCGCGAAAGCUAGGGGAGCAAACAGG
rnacentral:rRNA from 1 species